GAAUGAACUGGACAGAAAUGGGCUACAUUUUCUGACUCAGAAAAUACUCGAAUGACGCUGUGAAAUCAGUGAUUGGAGGUGGAGUUAGCAGUUAAAAGAAAAUAAAAAA
rnacentral:rRNA from 1 species